UACGUAGGGAGCAAGCGUUGUCCGGAAUCAUUGGGCGUAAAGCGCGCGUAGGCGGUCUCAUAAGUCCGUUGUGAAAGUCAAAGGCUCAACCUUUGAAAGCCGAUGGAUACUGUGAGGCUAGAGUCCGGAAGAGGCGAGUGGAAUUCCUGGUGUAGCGGUGGAAUGCGCAGAUAUCAGGAGGAACACCAAUAGCGAAGGCAGCUCGCUGGGACGGUACUGACGCUAAGGCGCGAAAGCGUGGGGAGCGAACAGG
rnacentral:rRNA from 1 species